GACGUAGGGGGCGAGCGUUGUCCGGAUUUAUUGGGCGUAAAGAGCUCGUAGGCGGUCUGUCGCGUCUGCUGUGAAAACUCGGGGCUUAACCCCGGGCCUGCAGUGGGUACGGGCAGACUAGAGUGCGGUAGGGGAGACUGGAAUUCCUGGUGUAGCGGUGAAAUGCGCAGAUAUCAGGAGGAACACCGGUGGCGAAGGCGGGUCUCUGCGCCGUAACUGACGCUGAGGAGCGAAAGCGUGGGGAGCGAACAGG
rnacentral:rRNA from 1 species